AGGAGACUAGUUAUGAAGGGUAGGGGUCAAUAAUAGAUCAAGCCAUCGAUAGGAGACUAGUUAUGAAGGGUUUAGGUAUAGGUUAGGUUAGGUAUUGGGUAGGUUGAUGAGGUGAUGGUGUAACACACACAAUGGUCUCUACACACUCAUCAUCGUCAUCAACAACGAUAAAACAACCACUAUGGGGUGGAAAUGGGAGACUGAACCCUCCCAUGCAAAUAAAAAGGAAAACAGAGCACGGAUGGAUCACUGAGUGUACUGCUGAGUGUACUACUGAGUGUACUACUGAGUGUACUACUACUGAGUGUACUACUGAGUGUACUGCUGAGUGUACUACUACUGAGUGUACUACUACUGAGUGUACUACUGAGUGUACUGCUGAGUGUACUGCUGAGUGUACUACUACUGAGUGUACUGCUGAGUGUACUACUACUGAGUGUACUGCUGAGUGUACUACUGAGUGUACUACUGAGUGUACUACUGAGUGUACUACUGAGUGA
rnacentral:lncRNA from 1 species